rnacentral:snRNA from 1 species
GUGCGCAUUUUGGCAGCACAUAUACUAAAUUAGAAUAAUACAGAGAUUAGCAUGGCCCCAGUGAAAGGAAGCAGGAAAAUCUAUGUAAUAUCCAUAUUUUU